AACGAACGCUGGCGGCGUGCUUAACACAUGCAAGUCGAACGCGAAAGGGACUUCGGUCCUGAGUAAAGUGGCGCACGGGUGAGUAACGCGUAGAUAACCUGUCUUCAUGUCUGGAAUAAUACGCCGAAAGGGGUACUAAUACCGGAUAUUCUUGCUUUUCAUAAGUUAUGCAAGCAAAGGUGGCCUCUGCAUAUGCUACUGCAUGAAGAGGGGUCUGCGUACCAUUAGCUAGUAGGUGGGGUAAUGGCCUACCUAGGCGACGAUGGUUAGCGGGUCUGAGAGGAUGAUCCGCCACACUGGCACUGGAACACGGGCCAGACUCCUACGGGAGGCAGCAGUGAGGAAUAUUGCGCAAUGGGGGAAACCCUGACGCAGCGACGCCGCGUGAGUGAGGAAGGCCUUCGGGUCGUAAAGCUCUGUCAAGAGGAAAGAAGUGUACAAUGGCUAAUACCUGUUGUAUUUGACGGUACCUCUAAAGGAAGCACCGGCUAACUCCGUGCCAGCAGCUGC
rnacentral:rRNA from 1 species